GGAAAGCGUAGCCCUAGGCUACGCGGAAGUGAGUGGUGCGGAAUGGACGCCCCUGAAGCCCGCUAAGUGAUAGACUUGGAGGCUGUGUGGUCCAUGGACACCCCGAAGUAAUACGAGAACCCCCUCCUUCCAAACGCUACGGCCAGAACAGGGCGCUGGGGACCUAACGUCUAGCGGAGCAGACAGGCGAGGGCUCCUCUUUCGUGGAAUGUACUUCCUAAUGGGGAGGAAGGAGACGGAGGAAACAGACUAGAAACAUCCAGACCUAGAAAUCACACCUUCUUUCUACCUGCAUAGACUUCUAGAGCUUAUGCGUGCUGUUUGUACCCAGUAAGACCUUUUAUUUUGGUCUGGACACACCAUGAAAAUUAAUGACCUAGAUGUUC